GCUAGGGUUUCUUAGUUUUCAAUAAUGGAUGAUAAAUAAUGGAUAUGAGGCUAAGUAUAUGUAUAUAAUGACCAAUUUUCGUUCAAGAGGUGAUGGAAAAUGACCAUAUUGCCCUUAAAAAUUUAAGUAAAUCCGAAUCUGUCCAUGGUGGACUGUUUUGAUAGGCUAAAGUAAAUCGGCCAUAACUCUUUGCUCCGAUAUCGGAUUUGGGUGAAAUUGGUAUCGUUAGAAAGAUAAUUCAAAGUUCUUUCAUUUCAUAUAAAUUAAUCCACCCAGUUCGUCCUGUACAAGUAGUUAUGAUCGUUUGAAGUUGACCCUAAAAAUCUGUUUUGAGAGGCUGAAGUAAAACGAGUAUAACUCCUUACUCAGAUGUUGGAUUUGGAUGAAACCAAUUUCAUUGGAAAGAAGACUCAAAGAUCUUUCUUUUGAUAUAUGGUAGCUCAACCAGUUCAUUAUAUUGAGGGAGUUAUGAUCGUUCAAAGUUGACCCAAAAAACUGGCAGGCCUCAGUAGUUUCCUGCACAUUUUACUGUUCACAUCCCGGCCACCGUUUUAAAGUUUCGAACGAGCUCGCUUAUAUCCGAAACUUAUCCGUUUUUGGAAAUCUUUA
rnacentral:lncRNA from 1 species